GCCCCUGUGGCCUAGCGGUAUGGCGUUGCAUUGGUAAUGCAGAGAUCCCGAGUUCAAUUUCCGUAAGGGAGUUACAAACCCUUCGUUUGAAAGUCUCGGCAGGGGCU
rnacentral:tRNA from 1 species